rnacentral:rRNA from 1 species
CAGUAGGGAAUCUUCCGCAAUGGGCGAAAGCCUGACGGAGCAACGCCGCGUGAGUGAUGAAGGUUUUCGGAUCGUAAAGCUCUGUUGCCAGGGAAGAACGUCUUGUAGAGUAACUGCUACAAGAGUGACGGUACCUGAGAAGAAAGCCCCGGCUAACUACGUGCCAGCAGCCGCGGUAAUACGUAGGGGGCAAGCGUUGUCCGGAAUUAUUGGGCGUAAAGCGCGCGCAGGCGGCUCUUUAAGUCUGGUGUUUAAUCCCGAGGCUCAACUUCGGGUCGCACUGGAAACUGGGGAGCUUGAGUGCAGAAGAGGAGAGUGGAAUUCCACGUGUAGCGGUGAAAUGCGUAGAUAUGUGGAGGAACACCAGUGGCGAAGGCGACUCUCUGGGCUGUAACUGACGCUGAGGCGCGAAAGCGUGGGGAGCAAACAGGAUUAGA